rnacentral:lncRNA from 1 species
AGGGAGGAGAGAAGGCGCUGCGGAGAGAGGGGGAGGCGGGCGGCUCGAGCCCUGGGAGAGCCCCGAGAACAGGGAGCCCGGAAUGUUUAGAACACAUAACGUGGGAUGCCAGGGCAAGGAGGGAUGUGAGGACGCGGAUCUGGAGUGCCAGAGCUAGGAGACCGCGGGGAACCGAGGAGGAGGAGUGACAGGGCUUGGAGCCCGGAGCUCUCGGACCCAGACCGGGCUCCCUCCCUUGGUAGCCUCUGGCCUGAAGAUGCCCAGGGGGGCAGGCCACGAGACCCCAAAGGGAGGAAGGGAACCUGGACCAGAGCUCAGCUCCCCUCUCGUCAAAGCCGGGAAGGCAGGGCUCCCAGUGGACUAGGCCCGGGUGAUGCUUCCGAUGGCUCCCGAGCUCUCCUCCGCCGGCCUAUGGGGCAUUUCCAACCCUUGGGGUCCGAAGCAGGACGCAUUCUCCAGCCUUCCUACCCGCCCCGUAAAGGGGUUCAAGCCCCGCAAGUCCGAAACAGAGCCAGGAGGGGAAAGAGAGCCCCCUGGCCCUCCCCAGUGGAGCAGAGGGCUGGCAUGGCGGAUGGAUGUCCAGGUACAUCCUCGCAGUGGAGAGACAAGAGGAUUUGGAGUCAGAGGUCUUGAGUUCAAACCUUGGCUCUGCUACUCCCUGCCUUUGUGUCCUUGGGAAUGGAAGACUAAAGAACAAGUCUGAAGAAACUUUGAAGCUUUCCCAGCCACCCAGGAGGAUGGAGGCAGGGGCAAUAAGGGGAGUGAGAAGAGAAGGGAGAUGGCAAACAAAGACCAAGGGGACACAUAGCUCAAGAAAGGCAAAGAAGGAUACUUCAAAUGUCAAUGAAUCAGGAAUCAAAGGAUCUAGGUUUGAAUCCUGACUCAGCCACUUAUUAGCUGUUGACCUUGGAAAAGUCCCAGCCACUCCAGACUUCAGUGUAAAAGUGGAAGAAAAAAGGAGAAUGGACUCAGUAAUAUAUGCCACAGACCCUGGACUUAUUCUCCCAACACUAACUAGCAUUAUUGGUAGGUCAGAUCUUAAGAAAAUGACUGCUAAAUCUCCUCUCAGGGACCUAGGAUUAACCCUAAGGGAUUGUGGGGUAUCUUUAUCUAAUGCAAUGGGGAAGAGAAUAAGCAUUUAUAUAGUACCUACUGUGUGUCACAUGCUUUACAAAUAUUAUCUCAUUGGAUUCUCACAACAACCUUGCAAAGUAGGUGCUGUUAUUAUUCCCACUUUGCAGUUGAGGAAACUAAGGCAGAGGUUAAGUGAUUAGCUGGUAAGUAUCUGAGACUAGAUUUGAGUUCCUCUCUUUCUGACUCUAGGACCAGGACUCUAUCCAUGGUGUCAUCUAGCUGAGCUUUGAACCCCAAUCAGGGUGCUCCUUGCCAUUCUUGUUUGUUGAUAUCAAUUAGUCAGACAGAAUUAAUUUGCUUUUAGAAAAGAGUAUUUACUAAGGUGUUACAAAACAUCCCCUCGAAAAUAGGUGACACUCUCAACUGCCAAAACACAGAGAGCCUAGGGGAAACUAGGCUUAAUCUUAGAGAUUAUUCCUAGCAGGAAGUUAACUCUCAGCUCUGGAAAGUUCUUUUGAUGGAGUCUUCAAGGUUACUACAUCAUUAACUAUGGUACAGAUUUUUUGCCAGGCUCUGUGUGGAGGCUGGAAUCUGCUUUUCCCAUCAUGUCCAGUCAAUCCUUGACUCCUGAUGCAGACACUGUCAUCAGUGAUAUCAGGGAUGCUUCUAGGACAUUUAGGGAAAAGUCCAAAUCCUCCUGACUCUUUAAAGAUCAGUGAGCUCUGGGGCAGCCGUGUGGCUCAGUGGAUAGAGAGUCAGACUUAGAGAUGGGAAGUCCUGCUUUCAAAUCUGGCCUCAGACACUUCCUAGCUGUGUGACCCUGGGCAAGUCAUUUGUCCCCCAUUGCCUAGCCCUUACCACUCUUUUGUCUUGAACCAAUACACAGUAUUGAUUCCAAGAUGGAAGGUAAGGGCUAAAAAAAGAUAGAUAGAUAGAUAGAUAGAUAGAUAGAUAGAUAGAUAGAUAGAUAGAUAGAUAUUGUGGUCACUAAUUAUAAAAUAUUAUCCCUUAAGUCAAAAUGACUGUGAUCUGUUUUUAUUUACAAGGUAGAAAAAGUGAAAGUGGGAAAUGUAGGAAAGAGACAGAGCCUAAAUAAGCCUACCGGCCCUAAGUGUUUCUCCAGCCAAGUGAAGUCCAGUUCAGCACCCAGGCAGGGGCUUCCUCAAGUCCUGAUCUCCACGUUCUCCAUGUGAAAGUCCAGUAAUCUCCAGCAAGCCAAUACAGAAUCCAAGGAAAGAGUCUCUCCAAAGCCAGGAAAGGAAAUUGUGUCCCAGACCAUGUUGGUCUCUUUUUAUACACCUUUUUCCAUGUCAUUUCUUAUCUCUCCCCCUCUUCACAGAAACCAAUUGCAGUCUUUCAAUUUGCCUGGCUUGUGGCCUUUGGGGGUUUGAACUAGUAAAUGACUUGUGAGCUCUCUUACCUAACGGUUAAGUGGGGUACCAAGUAGGGGUACUUUAAGUUCUUGAUUUGAUUAGCUAAAAAUAGACAAGGGGAGAAUUAAUUCUAUCUUCACAACCAAAUGUAUAUGCCAUAACUUGUUCCACUAUUCCCUAAUUGUUGGGCAUUCCCUCAGUUUCCAAGUCUAUUCCACUGCAAAAAGAGCUACCAUAUGGCAAAAAACUGGAAAAUGAGGGGAUGCCCUUCAAUUGGGGAAUGGCUGAACAAAUUAUGGUAUAUGUUGGUGAUGGAAUACUCUUGUGCUCAAAGGAAUAAUAAAGUGGAGGAAUUCCAUGGAGACUGGAACA